rnacentral:rRNA from 1 species
GGUGCGAGCGUUAAUCGGAAUUACUGGGCGUAAAGGGCGCGUAGGCGGUUAUUUAGGUUAGAUGUGAAAUCCCUGGGCUUAACCUAGGAACUGCAUUUAAUACUGGGUAACUGGAGUGUGGUAGAGGGUAGUGGAAUUUCCGGUGUAGCGGUGAAAUGCGUAGAUAUCGGAAGGAACACCAGUGGCGAAGGCGGCUACCUGGACUGACACUGACGCUGAGGCGCGAGAGCGUGGGGAGCAAACAGG